rnacentral:misc_RNA from 1 species
UCCGGUUUGACACCUGCAGUCCCCCCAGAGUGCCCCUUGCGGGUUGCAACUGAGGGUAAGGGUUUCGCUCGUUAUGGGACUUAACCCGACAUCUCACGACACGAGCUGACGACAGCCAUGCAGCACCUGUGGCCGCUUCCGGAUUGGAUACCGUUCGUUCCCGUUUCCGGGUCCUACCUGCGGCCUCUUUCGAACAUGUCAAGUCCGGGAUAAGGUUCUUCGCGUAGCCUCGAAUUAAGCCACAUGCUCCACCGCUUGUGUGAGCCCCCGUCAAUUCCUUCGAGUUUCAGCCUUGCGACCAUACUCCCCAGGCGGGAUACUUAACGCUUUCGCUCCGUCAAAAAGCCCCUUGCAGGGCCUUCUGAGUAGUAUCCAUCGUUUAGGGCGUGGACUAC